UAAAACACAAAAGAUUAAAACUGCUAGGCCUCUUCUCCCACGAUCUCCACUUGGCCUUAAUUCGCUCAAUUAUGGAACAACAAGCUGAUUUCAUACUAAAAAAAACUCUCAAUCUCUUCCUUUUCUCAUCCCUCUUUCUGCUUCCUUUAAUCGGGAUUACUUCUCUUCAACAACUGCUUCGACUCCCGCACGACCACGAUUCCCACUUCUUCGCUUCUCUUUUAGUCUUUUUCACUUAUGCGCUUCUCUUCUUCGACAACAUGAUUUCAUACAAAAGCUUCAGUAUCUCUUCCUUUCCUAUUUCUGGUUUGCUCCAACUUUUCCGGCUUUCAGUUUACAUGGUUGGCGGUUCCAGCACCACAACACCGGACCACAAUGACACUUCUCCCUUCCUCUGUCUUCCAACCUUCGUUUCUUCUACAAGUUCUUUAGUUUGCUACUGAAGUUUCAAGGAAUUUUGGGUGUUUUAUGUCAUUUAUGUAGUUGUACAUAGUAAAUUUGGAACGUGGAUAGGUUUUCUUCUAACAUUUAAGCCUCGGGUUAGAGUGUGAAUGAUUCAUCUCUCUUAGUUUGGUUUGAGAUUGACAUGUAAGCUUACAAGGUUUGAUUCUGAGACUGAAUGGUCGUGUUUGCAGGGUAUUGAUUUGAUCGCUGAAGGUAAUAGAAAAAAGACCAAAAGGACAGCUCCAAAGUGAGAUGAUGUCUACCCUAAGCUUAUUGUCAAGUUUUGUAGCUUUACCGUUUUAUGGUAAGGAGAACUCAGAGCAAGUUCAAUUUUGUGUGAUAUUGAAGAGGCUUUUCUCUAUCUAAGCUUGUGGAAUGCGUGACUGGCAAGAACCAGUUUCCAAUUUGUGAACCUAAAGUGGUUACUGAUAAUCCCCUGAUUCACGAGUUUCAAGCCAACCACAGGAGAAGGUGUUCGGUCUUAUUUGCGUAUUGCCAAACAGUGGCAGUUGUGAGAAAAUUCCAGGGAUGUUGCAGUUGGCUCUUGCUUUCAAUCCGUGUGCUCGCUGCUGGUGCAAAGGACAACAGCUGGCUAUUGCGUUCAUUCCGUGUGCUCGAUGCUAAUGCAGAGUACUGAAUGGUGGGACUUCGAGUGGCCUAGCAUGCAUGAAAAUGUUGCUUAAUGAGUCUCAGGCACAUUGAUCAGUCAAAACCUUAACUUUCAGGCGAUGAUCCAUAAGCCACUCUCUCUGCCCUUCAUCACUCCAGAACCUGGUGAAACCUAAUCCGUAAGAGGAAUGAUGCAAAGCCAUGGUUCCUUAUCUAUCCAGAGUAUCUUUCUAUGGUCCAAUUACUCGGCAAGGUUCCGUUCCGAGCCAGCCAAGCAAUGGCCAAGGAGAUGGCCUUGUUAGCCUUCAACCGGGCUCUUAACCUCUCUAAACAUGCAAAGGUCCCUCCGGUUCUUGGUGUUGGGUUUAGGGGAUCUUUGUUUGCCAACUUUUCUUUUCCAAAGCGUGGGUGGGGGAUCACAGACAGGUUAUGCAACUUUUUCUUAUUAGCUAGCUAGGAGGUCUUCUGGGGGUUCCGAGCCAGCCAACUCUGCAGCAGCCAAGGAGAUGGUCUUGAUCUCUCCGGUGUUCUUUGCUGUGGGUUUCACGGAAUCUUCUCUCGUCCAAAGCGUGGGUGCGGAUCACACACAGGGAUCUUAAUGUGAUUCACGAGUAUCACCAAGCCAACCACAGGAGAAGGUGAUCUUCUUAGCGCAUUUCCAAAGAGUUGAGCAGGUGAGUUAUCUUAUUUGAUUUCCACUACUCUUUAAUCAGUUUGCUUUUUCUUCAAGGGAUGUUGCAGGACAACAGUUGGCUCUUGCGUUCCAUCCGUGUGCUCGCUGCUGGUGCAGAUUACAGGAGAAGGUGGUCUUAUUUGCGCAUUGCCAAACAGUUGAGCAGUUGUGAGAAGGUUUCAGGGAUGUUGCAGGACAACAGGUGGCUCUUGCGUUCAUUCCCUGUGCUCGCUGCUGGUGCAGAGGAAAACAGUUGGCUCUUGCGUUCAAUCUGUGUGUCUGCUGCUGGUACAGAGUACAGGAAAAGGUGAUCUUGUUUACGCAUUCCCAAACAGUUGAGCAGAUUUUAUGGUUUGGAGUUGUGCCAACCUUCAAGGGAUGUUGCAGGACAACAGUUGGAUCUUGCUUUCAAUCCUAUGUGCUUUUUUCAUAUGAUUGAAAAUAAAUACAGUAUUUUGCUUAGGAACACAAAUAUAAAAGGUCAAGAUCAACCUCAACUAUGUACUAGUAGUGUCAUUAGGAGUAGGACCAAUCUAUAUAUCAGUGCAUAAACAUCACUAUCUGUCAAUUUUCCAGAUAAUGAUAUACACAAAUCUAAGUAGUUAAUCAGAGAAUAAUAUUUUCCUUAA